GGAGGUAUAGCUCAGUGGUAGAGUGUGUGCCUAGCAUACAUGAGGGCCUGAGUUCAAUCCCCAGUACCUCCA
rnacentral:tRNA from 1 species